CAGUAGCCGCGGUAAUACGUAGGUGGCGAGCGUUGUCCGGAAUCAUUGGGCGUAAAGGGAGCGCAGGCGGGCAUGUAAGUCUUUCUUAAAAGUUCGGGGCUCAACCCCGUGAUGGGAAAGAAACUACAUGUCUUGAGUACAGGAGAGGAAAGCGGAAUUCCCAGUGUAGCGGUGAAAUGCGUAGAUAUUGGGAGGAACACCAGUGGCGAAGGCGGCUUUCUGGACUGCAACUGACGCUGAGGCGCGAAAGCCAGGGGAGCGAACGGGAUUAGAUACCCGUGUAGUCCCUGUCUCUUAUACA
rnacentral:rRNA from 1 species